UAUGUAUUUGUAAAAUUCUGUAUUUAUAGAUACGUAUAUCCUGACCAUAUUUGCCAGGAAAAAUUGUUUAUUGUACUAGGAGAAAAGAGUAUAAGUGGAAUAUAAGUGCGCGCCAGAACAAGGGCAAAGGAAUUAUCUGAAUGCAUGUCGAUCUGCACGGACUGCAUGGUUUCUUCAUUUAAGAUAGUUGAAAUAUACCAGUAUCUAUCGAACAGACAUUAUACCGAUAUCAAACUUGUGAAAGAUUUUUAUAUUAAAUGGAGUGUAUUUGGAGUUGCCUGCAGUGGAUUAGGACCCAGAUGGUAAUUAUAUACGUUUAAUUGUUGCGUUCG
rnacentral:lncRNA from 1 species